rnacentral:rRNA from 1 species
UACGAAGGGGGCUAGCGUUGUUCGGAAUUACUGGGCGUAAAGCGUGCGCAGGCGGCUUCUCAAGUCAGGGGUGAAAGCCCAGAGCUCAACUCUGGAAUUGCCUUUGAGACUGAGGGGCUUGAGUACGAGAGAGGUGAGUGGAAUUCCCAGUGUAGAGGUGAAAUUCGUAGAUAUUGGGAAGAACACCGGUGGCGAAGGCGGCGACCUGGUCCUUGACUGACGCUGAGGCGCGAAAGCGUGGGGAGCAAACAGG